rnacentral:rRNA from 1 species
AGUGAACGCUGGCGGUAGGCCUAACACAUGCAAGUCGAACGGCAGCACAGGAGAGCUUGCUCUCUGGGUGGCGAGUGGCGGACGGGUGAGGAAUACAUCGGAAUCUACUCUGUCGUGGGGGAUAACGUAGGGAAACUUAUGCUAAUACCGCAUACGACCUACGGGUGAAAGCAGGGGACCUUCGGGCCUUGCGCGAUUGAAUGAGCCGAUGUCGGAUUAGCUAGUUGGCGGGGUAAAGGCCCCCCAAGGCGACGAUCCGUAGCUGGUCUGAGAGGAUGAUCAGCCACACUGGAAAUGAGACACGGUCCAGAAUCCUACGGGAGGCAGCAGUGGGGAAUAUUGGACAAUGGGCGCAAGCCUGAUCCAGCCAUACCGCGUGGGUGAAGAAGGCCUUCGGGUUGUAAAGCCCUUUUGUUGGGAAAGAAAUCCAGCUGGCUAAUACCCGGUUGGGAUGACGGUACCCAAAGAAUAAGCACCGGCUAACUUCGUGCCAGCCGCCGCGGUAA